rnacentral:rRNA from 1 species
GGUUAAGCGACUAAGCGUACACGGUGGAUGCCCUGGCAGUCAGAGGCGAUGAAGGACGUGCUAAUCUGCGAUAAGCGUCGGUAAGGUGAUAUGAACCGUUAUAACCGGCGAUUUCCGAAUGGGGAAACCCAGUGUGUUUCGACACACUAUCAUUAACUGAAUCCAUAGGUUAAUGAGGCGAACCGGGGGAACUGAAACAUCUAAGUACCCCGAGGAAAAGAAAUCAACCGAGAUUCCCCCAGUAGCGGCGAGCGAACGGGGAGCAGCCCAGAGCCUGAAUCAGUGUGUGUGUUAGUGGAAGCGUCUGGAAAGGCGCGCGAUACAGGGUGACAGCCCCGUACACAAAAAUGCACAUGCUGUGAGCUCGAUGAGUAGGGCGGGACACGUGGUAUCCUGUCUGAAUAUGGGGGGACCAUCCUCCAAGGCUAAAUACUCCUGACUGACCGAUAGUGAACCAGUACCGUGAGGGAAAGGCGAAAAGAACCCCGGCGAGGGGAGUGAAAAAGAACCUGAAACCGUGUACGUACAAGCAGUGGGAGCACGCUGGCGUGUGACUGCGUACCUUUUGUAUAAUGGGUCAGCGACUUAUAUUCUGUAGCAAGGUUAACCGAAUAGGGGAGCCGAAGGGAAACCGAGUCUUAACUGGGCGUUAAGUUGCAGGGUAUAGACCCGAAACCCGGUGAUCUAGCCAUGGGCAGGUUGAAGGUUGGGUAACACUAACUGGAGGACCGAACCGACUAAUGUUGAAAAAUUAGCGGAUGACUUGUGGCUGGGGGUGAAAGGCCAAUCAAACCGGGAGAUAGCUGGUUCUCCCCGAAAGCUAUUUAGGUAGCGCCUCGUGAAUUCAUCUCCGGGGGUAGAGCACUGUUUCGGCAAGGGGUUACCAACCCGAUGCAAACUGCGAAUACCGGAGAAUGUUAUCACGGGAGACACACGGCGGGUGCUAACGUCCGUCGUGAAGAGGGAAACAACCCAGACCGCCAGCUAAGGUCCCAAAGUCAUGGUUAAGUGGGAAACGAUGUGGGAAGGCCCAGACAGCCAGGAUGUUGGCUUAGAAGCAGCCAUCAUUUAAAGAAAGCGUAAUAGCUCACUGGUCGAGUCGGCCUGCGCGGAAGAUGUAACGGGGCUAAACCAUGCACCGAAGCUGCGGCAGCGACGCUGCGUUGUUGGGUAGGGGAGCGUUCUGUAAGCCUGCGAAGGUGUGCUGUGAGGCAUGCUGGAGGUAUCAGAAGUGCGAAUGCUGACAUAAGUAACGAUAAAGCGGGUGAAAAGCCCGCUCGCCGGAAGACCAAGGGUUCCUGUCCAACGUUAAUCGGGGCAGGGUGAGUCGACCCCUAAGGCGAGGCCGAAAGGCGUAGUCGAUGGGAAACAGGUUAAUAUUCCUGUACUUGGUGUUACUGCGAAGGGGGGACGGAGAAGGCUAUGUUGGCCGGGCGACGGUUGUCCCGGUUUAAGCGUGUAGGCUGGUUUUCCAGGCAAAUCCGGAAAAUCAAGGCUGAGGCGUGAUGACGAGGCACUACGGUGCUGAAGCAACAAAUGCCCUGCUUCCAGGAAAAGCCUCUAAGCAUCAGGUAACAUCAAAUCGUACCCCAAACCGACACAGGUGGUCAGGUAGAGAAUACCAAGGCGCUUGAGAGAACUCGGGUGAAGGAACUAGGCAAAAUGGUGCCGUAACUUCGGGAGAAGGCACGCUGAUAUGUAGGUGAGGUCCCUCGCGGAUGGAGCUGAAAUCAGUCGAAGAUACCAGCUGGCUGCAACUGUUUAUUAAAAACACAGCACUGUGCAAACACGAAAGUGGACGUAUACGGUGUGACGCCUGCCCGGUGCCGGAAGGUUAAUUGAUGGGGUUAGCGCAAGCGAAGCUCUUGAUCGAAGCCCCGGUAAACGGCGGCCGUAUAACGGUCCUAAGGUAGCGAAAUUCCUUGUCGGGUAAGUUCCGACCUGCACGAAUGGCGUAAUGAUGGCCAGGCUGUCUCCACCCGAGACUCAGUGAAAUUGAACUCGCUGUGAAGAUGCAGUGUACCCGCGGCAAGACGGAAAGACCCCGUGAACCUUUACUAUAGCUUGACACUGAACAUUGAGCCUUGAUGUGUAGGAUAGGUGGGAGGCUUUGAAGUGUGGACGCCAGUCUGCAUGGAGCCGACCUUGAAAUACCACCCUUUAAUGUUUGAUGUUCUAACGUUGACCCGUAAUCCGGGUUGCGGACAGUGUCUGGUGGGUAGUUUGACUGGGGCGGUCUCCUCCUAAAGAGUAACGGAGGAGCACGAAGGUUGGCUAAUCCUGGUCGGACAUCAGGAGGUUAGUGCAAUGGCAUAAGCCAGCUUGACUGCGAGCGUGACGGCGCGAGCAGGUGCGAAAGCAGGUCAUAGUGAUCCGGUGGUUCUGAAUGGAAGGGCCAUCGCUCAACGGAUAAAAGGUACUCCGGGGAUAACAGGCUGAUACCGCCCAAGAGUUCAUAUCGACGGCGGUGUUUGGCACCUCGAUGUCGGCUCAUCACAUCCUGGGGCUGAAGUAGGUCCCAAGGGUAUGGCUGUUCGCCAUUUAAAGUGGUACGCGAGCUGGGUUUAGAACGUCGUGAGACAGUUCGGUCCCUAUCUGCCGUGGGCGCUGGAGAACUGAGGGGGGCUGCUCCUAGUACGAGAGGACCGGAGUGGACGCAUCACUGGUGUUCGGGUUGUCAUGCCAAUGGCACUGCCCGGUAGCUAAAUGCGGAAGAGAUAAGUGCUGAAAGCAUCUAAGCACGAAACUUGCCCCGAGAUGAGUUCUCCCUGACCCUUUAAGGGUCCUGAAGGAACGUUGAAGACGACGACGUUGAUAGGCCGGGUGUGUAAGCGCAGCGAUGCGUUGAGCUAACCGGUACUAAUGAACCGUGAGGCUUAACCU